rnacentral:rRNA from 1 species
UACGAAGGGUGCAAACGUUGCUCGGAAUUACUGGGCGUAAAGGGCUCGUAGGCGGCCAACUAAGUCAGACGUGAAAUCCCCAGGCUCAACCUGGGAACUGCGUCUGAUACUGGAUGGCUUGAAUUCGGGAGAGGGAUGCAGAAUUCCAGGUGUAGCGGUGAAAUGCGUAGAUAUCUGGAGGAAUACCGGUGGCGAAGGCGGCAUCCUGGACCGGCAUUGACGCUGAACAGCGAAAGCUAGGGGAGCAAACGGG